AUUGAACGCUGGCGGCAUGCCUUACACAUGCAAGUCGAACGGUAACAGGUCUUCGGAUGCUGACGAGUGGCGAACGGGUGAGUAAUACAUCGGAACGUGCCCGAUCGUGGGGGAUAACGAGGCGAAAGCUUUGCUAAUACCGCAUAAGAUCUAAGGAUGAAAGCAGGGGACCGCAAGGCCUUGCGCGAACGGAGCGGCCGAUGGCAGAUUAGGUAGUUGGUGGGAUAAAAGCUUACCAAGCCGACGAUCUGUAGCUGGUCUGAGAGGACGACCAGCCACACUGGGACGGAGACACGGCCCAGACUCCUACGGGAGGCAGCAGUGGGGAAUUUUGGACAAUGGGCGAAAGCCUGAUCCAGCCAUGCCGCGUGCAGGAUGAAGGCCUUCGGGUUGUAAACUGCUUUUGUACGGAACGAAAAGACUCUGGUUAAUACCUGGGGUCCAUGACGGUACCGUAAGAAUAAGCACCGGCUAACUACGUGCCAGCAGCCGCCGUAAAAC
rnacentral:rRNA from 1 species